AUGCCAGGAUCACAAGCCGACGAGAUUGACUGGGAGAAUUUAUCGAACAAGGAGCUUCAUGAUAAGUUUCAGCAAAUGAUGACUAAACAGGUGCAAGAUGUGCUGAACAAUUUUGAAGAGGCCAUGGAGAAGAUCACUGGCCUUGAGAAGACGUUCGAAACAAAGCUCGAUAACAAGUUUAAUGAAUUGCUCGCGCGUCUUCCACCACCACCACCACCCGCUGCACCUAACGCACCUCUCCAACAACAACAACAACGACUACCUCCACGUCACGAAAUAGACCUCCGCCGAGCAAGCCGUGUUCCUCUUGCGUUUGGCCAAACUGUUGGUGCUGCUGUUGAUACUUCUGUGGCUCCUGUUGCUGAUGCGGAGGAGGAUGAUUAUGUGGGAGAUUAUGAGGAUGAGGUUGAUCAAAAUCAGCACUACGUGCAGCCACCUGUACCACCACCAGCAGGUCGACCUCAGGUAUAUAUUCUUAAUGGUAGGCCUGCACCACCACCUCAGGUACGAGAUGAUGUCCAUAUUCCUAAACUGAAAUUGAAUAUUCCACCAUUUGAGGGUAGAUAUGUUCCUGAUAUAUAUCUUACUUGGGCGUAA
rnacentral:rRNA from 1 species